UACGUAGGGUGCGAGCGUUGUCCGGAAUUACUGGGCGUAAAGAGCUCGUAGGUGGUUUGUCGCGUUGUCCGUGAAAACUCACAGCUUAACUGUGGGCGUGCGGGCGAUACGGGCAGACUGGAGUACUGCAGGGGAGACUGGAAUUCCUGGUGUAGCGGUGGAAUGCGCAGAUAUCAGGAGGAACACCGGUGGCGAAGGCGGGACUCUGGGCCGAUACUGACGCUGAGGAGCGAAAGCGUGGGGAGCGAACAGG
rnacentral:rRNA from 1 species